GUAGCGGCGAGCGAACCUGGAUUAGCCCUUAAGCACUCGGUGAAGUAGGUGAACAAGCUGGAAAGCUUGGCGAUACAGGGUGAUAGCCCCGUAACCGACGCUUCAUCGAGCGUGAAAUCGAGUAGGGCGGGACACGUGAUAUCCUGUCUGAAUAUGGGGGGACCAUCCUCCAAGGCUAAAUACUCCUGACUGACCGAUAGUGAACCAGUACCGUGAGGGAAAGGCGAAAAGAACCCCUGUGAGGGGAGUGAAAUAGAACCUGAAACCGUGUACGUACAAGCAGUAGGAGCACCUUCGUGGUGUGACUGCGUACCUUUUGUAUAAUGGGUCAGCGACUUAUAUUCAGUGGCAAGGUUAACCGUAUAGGGGAGCCGUAGCGAAAGCGAGUCUUAACUGGGCGCUCAGUCUCUGGAUAUAGACCCGAAACCGGGUGAUCUAGCCAUGGGCAGGUUGAAGGUUGAGUAACAUCAACUGGAGGACCGAACCGACUAAUGUUGAAAAAUUAGCGGAUGACUUGUGGCUAGGGGUGAAAGGCCAAUCAAACUCGGAGAUAGCUGGUUCUCCCCGAAAGCUAUUUAGGUAGCGCCUCGGACGAAUACUACUGGGGGUAGAGCACUGUUAAGGCUAGGGGGUCAUCCCGACUUACCAACCCUUUGCAAACUCCGAAUACCAGUAAGUACUAUCCGGGAGACACACGGCGGGUGCUAACGUCCGUCGUGGAGAGGGAAACAACCCAGACCGCCAGCUAAGGUCCCAAAGUAUUGCUAAGUGGGAAACGAUGUGGGAAGGCUCAGACAGCUAGGAUGUUGGCUUAGAAGCAGCCAUCAUUUAAAGAAAGCGUAAUAGCUCACUAGUCGAGUCGGCCUGCGCGGAAGAUGUAACGGGGCUAAGCAAUACACCGAAGCUGCGGCAAUGUCUUUUAGACAUUGGGUAGGGGAGCGUUCUGUAAGCCGUUGAAGGUGAAUCGUAAGGUUUGCUGGAGGUAUCAGAAGUGCGAAUGCUGACAUGAGUAACGACAAAGGGGGUGAAAAACCUCCUCGCCGGAAGACCAAGGGUUCCUGUCCAACGUUAAUCGGGGCAGGGUGAGUCGACCCCUAAGGUGAGGCCGAAAGGCGUAAUCGAUGGGAAACGGGUUAAUAUUCCCGUACUUCUGACUAUUGCGAUGGGGGGACGGAGAAGGCUAGGUGGGCCAGGCGACGGUUGUCCUGGUUCAAGUGCGUAGGCUUGAGAGUUAGGUAAAUCCGGCUCUCUCUAAGGCUGAGACACGACGUCGAGCUACUACGGUAGUGAAGUCAUUGAUGCCAUGCUUCCAGGAAAAGCCUCUAAGCUUCAGAUAGUCAGGAAUCGUACCCCAAACCGACACAGGUGGUCGGGUAGAGAAUACCAAGGCGCUUGAGAGAACUCGGGUGAAGGAACUAGGCAAAAUGGUACCGUAACUUCGGGAGAAGGUACGCUCUUGAUGGUGAAGUCCCUCGCGGAUGGAGCUGACGAGAGUCGCAGAUACCAGGUGGCUGCAACUGUUUAUUAAAAACACAGCACUGUGCAAAAUCGCAAGAUGACGUAUACGGUGUGACGCCUGCCCGGUGCCGGAAGGUUAAUUGAUGGGGUUAGCGCAAGCGAAGCUCUUGAUCGAAGCCCCGGUAAACGGCGGCCGUAACUAUAACGGUCCUAAGGUAGCGAAAUUCCUUGUCGGGUAAGUUCCGACCUGCACGAAUGGCGUAAUGAUGGCCACGCUGUCUCCACCCGAGACUCAGUGAAAUUGAAAUCGCUGUGAAGAUGCAGUGUACCCGCGGCUAGACGGAAAGACCCCGUGAACCUUUACUACAGCUUGGCACUGAACAUUGAACCUACAUGUGUAGGAUAGGUGGGAGGCUAUGAAGACGUGACGCCAGUUGCGUUGGAGCCGUCCUUGAAAUACCACCCUUGUAUGUUUGAUGUUCUAACUUAGACCCAUUAUCUGGGUUGAGGACAGUGCCUGGUGGGUAGUUUGACUGGGGCGGUCUCCUCCCAAAGAGUAACGGAGGAGCACGAAGGUGGGCUAAUCACGGUUGGACAUCGUGAGGUUAGUGCAAUGGCAUAAGCCCGCUUAACUGCGAGAAUGACGGUUCGAGCAGGUGCGAAAGCAGGUCAUAGUGAUCCGGUGGUUCUGUAUGGAAGGGCCAUCGCUCAACGGAUAAAAGGUACUCCGGGGAUAACAGGCUGAUACCGCCCAAGAGUUCAUAUCGACGGCGGUGUUUGGCACCUCGAUGUCGGCUCAUCACAUCCUGGGGCUGAAGUCGGUCCCAAGGGUAUGGCUGUUCGCCAUUUAAAGUGGUACGCGAGCUGGGUUUAGAACGUCGUGAGACAGUUCGGUCCCUAUCUGCCGUGGGCGUUGGAAGAUUGAAGGGGGCUGCUCCUAGUACGAGAGGACCGGAGUGGACGAACCUCUGGUGUUCGGGUUGUGUCGCCAGACGCAUUGCCCGGUAGCUAAGUUCGGAAUUGAUAAGCGCUGAAAGCAUCUAAGCGCGAAGCGAGCCCUGAGAUGAGUCUUCCCUGACAGUUUAACUGUCCUAAAGGGUUGUUCGAGACUAGAACGUUGAUAGGCAGGGUGUGUAAGCGUUGUGAGGCGUUGAGCUAACCUGUACUAAUUGCCCGUGAGGCUUAACCAU
rnacentral:rRNA from 1 species